ACAGAACAACAUAAUGGAUCGUGCGCAAGUCGUGCGUUUUUUGGAGCGCCAGUCACGUACGAGUCGUUCAAGGAAUCGAAGGAAUGUACUACGGGCGCUCGUAGGACUCCGCAGCACGUCCGCAGCUGAUGGCUGACGCCCGUGGCUACCGACACGAGACCGGCUACCGACUGCGUGACAGUAUGAAAGGUCGAUCUUGGCCCACGACUGUAAAUGG
rnacentral:lncRNA from 1 species